rnacentral:rRNA from 1 species
UACGGCGGGAGCUAGCGUUGUUCGGAAUUACUGGGCGUAAAGCGCACGUAGGCGGCUUUGUAAGUUAGAGGUGAAAGCCCGGGGCUCAACUCCGGAACUGCCUUUAAGACUGCAUCGCUUGAAUCCAGGAGAGGUGAGUGGAAUUCCGAGUGUAGAGGUGAAAUUCGUAGAUAUUCGGAAGAACACCAGUGGCGAAGGCGGCUCACUGGACUGGUAUUGACGCUGAGACGCGAAAGCGUGGGGAGCGAACAGG